CUCUAUGGGCGGGCCACGCGGGCAACCUUCGGGUUGGCCGGUUCCUUUGUCCCGGUAUUGCUCUCCCGUGCGGCCUGCCUUCCCUC
rnacentral:antisense_RNA from 1 species